UGACCUCAAAUCAGGUAGGACUACCCGCUGAACUUAAGCAUAUCAAUAAGCGGAGGAAAAGAAACUAACAAGGAUUCCCCUAGUAACUGCGAGUGAAGCGGGAAAAGCUCAAAUUUAAAAUCUGGUAGUCUUUGGCUGCCCGAGUUGUAGUCUGGAGAAGUGUCUUCCGCGCCGGACCGUGUACAAGUCUCUUGGAACAGAGCGUCAUAGAGGGUGAGAAUCCCGUCUUUGACACGGACUACCGGUGCUUUGUGAUGCGCUCUCAAAGAGUCGAGUUGUUUGGGAAUGCAGCUCAAAAUGGGUGGUAAAUUCCAUCUAA
rnacentral:rRNA from 2 species